rnacentral:rRNA from 1 species
GCCAGCAGCUAGCUCUCUGCAACUCUCACAUGGUCACCUACUGAAGCUAAGCAGGGCUCCGUCUGAUCUGAUACCUGGAUGGGAGACCACAUGGGAAAGUUAGUUUGCUGCCGGAA